rnacentral:lncRNA from 1 species
CCGGCCUGGGGGAGGCUUGAUGUUGAUGGGUUGGUGAUUAAAGCCUCCCAAAGCCAAUCCUUGGCAUGGCCUUUGGGACUCAAAACACAGGAUCUGACUGGUGGGCACAAUACCAUCUUGAACGCCCACAAAAAGGUUUGGUUUUGUUGCCAAAGGGCAGGUGGCUCCAGGCAGGGCUGAUGGUGGCAGGGUGGGGUGAGGACAGGACAAGAGAUCUGGGUGUGGAAGGAUGGCCGGGUUUCUGCAGCAGCAGGAGGAAAGGGUGGGAGCACACAGGCACAGAACACUGUGAGCAGGACUGCCAGGCCAGUGUCACAAGCGCUACCAUCUGGGUGUAGACAGACCUGAGCUGAUAAAGCUGGGGGAGCAAGGCCAACGGCUUUAAACACAAGCUCAGGGGCUUGGGGUUUAUCCCGAGGGCACAGGGCAGCCAUGUAGGGUGGAGUUGGCAUGAGUUGAGCCUGGGCUGGGUGUGUAGACUGGACAGAGGUGGGUAGGGCAGGCAGUGACGAGCUGGUGUGCAAGAGACUUUAGGGCCAGCAAGGAGGAACGGGAGGACCUGGAUGCUGAUGAGCAGCA